UACGGGGGGGGGCAAGCGUUGUUCGGAAUUACUGGGCGUAAAGGGCUUGUAGGCGGCCAACUAAGUCAAACGUGAAAUCCCUCGGCUUAACCGGGGAACUGCGCUUGAUACUGGAUGGCUUGAGAUUGGGAGAGGGAUGCGGAAUUCCAGGUGUAGCGGUGAAAUGCGUAGAUAUCUGGAGGAACACCGGUGGCGAAGGCGGCAUCCUGGACCGAGAUUGACGCUGAGGCGCGAAAGCCAGGGGAGCAAACGGG
rnacentral:rRNA from 1 species